UUCAACGUUUAGUUUAGUUGCAUUGAUUAACGCGUUGAUAAAACGUAUCAGAAGCGGCAUUACCUAUUCAAAUCGUAAUAAUUUUGAUAAAAUCGAAUUGACAAUUCUUUAUAAAAAUGCAGACCAUCAAAACGUAUUUUUUUAUGUUAUUGGUUAUAGUAUUACAACUUUAUGCUGUUAAAUACAAUGUUGCUGUCGCUACUAUAGACCCUGACGGUAUUUUUGGCACGGUCUGGGCACCUCAACCUGAUCCAAAGGGCUACGAUGGUGACACUGAAAAUCAAUGAAUACGUUUGGCGCCCCGCUAAAUAGGUACGUAUUAGGAAAAAAUCAGCAUAUCAAUUUUUUCAUAGGCUUAUAAGUAAAUUUUUACAAACCUCUAUUUUUAAAAAAAAUACCUAUACCUAAUAAUGUCAAUUUUUCCAUAAUAAGCUUAUUCAAUUUACUGACCUCUAUGUUUAACAAAAAUGAAGGAACCCAAUAAAUUUUCAGCAUUGUG